CUUCAUAGUGUUUCUAAAGAAUUUAUUUCAGUUUAUGUGCUGUUAACAUGGGAAUUUUGGAUAAUGAAAAUAUUUAGUAAAGUGGAAGACUUACUUCACCUCCUUUAAGACUGGUAAUAAGUGAUAAGAGUCCCGUGACUCUUAAGAGAAGAAAUUUUUCAUGGAAUUGCAUGUGUAUUUCCCAGGAUGACUGGAUUUGUGCAAGCAGAUCACUGCAUAUCCUCUCUCAAUAUGAACCAGUUUAGAUAUUGAAGUCCCAGUUUAUGUUGGCUAUAGUGACACAGUCCCCAUGAAUGGAGGGUGCAAGAUCAGACCUCCAGUAGGAAAAUCUGCCAAACACCGUUGUCAGAGCCUGAGCCAGAGACAGAUGAACUCUUGUCUCUUCUCAGUUUCCUUUUCCUUUCAGUAAGUUUUUCUAGUGUGCAAGACAGCAUGUUUUGUCAUGUCUCUUACCAUGUUUUAAUACACAUCUAACUGUUAUGUAUGAACAACUUUCCAGAACAAAUGGUACUAGAUUCUUGAAGCAAACAACUAUAACAUGAUUACUGUUUGGGAAGACUUAAAUGUGCAAAUGACAUCUGUUGUCUAGAUGUAUUCAUCAACUAGAGGGAAUUUCUAAUGGACAACAUCACACAAACCUGAGGAAUGCAGAGAGAGGACGCUGAGGAGCCAAGAAAUCAAGUGAUCAAGAGGGUUUGGAUUUACAUUAAUGUGUCAUCCUGAUGGAAAAUACAACUUGAUUAGAAAUGAGAAAUCCUUGACUCAACAGAUAUAUAGAGGCAUGUUAUAGAAAUAUGUAUUAAGAAGUCCCUGAGUCCUAGGAGAACAUAUCAAGUUGACUCUGGCUAGAAGCAAACAAAUUACCUUCGUGGUCCUGGUCCUUUGGUUCCACACAAUUAUCAACUAAGCUGAAGGAGAUCUCCCUAUAGCUGUGAGUAGUAAUGAGGCUUUAGCAUUUCUUUUCACAUUGCUGCUAGAGAGUGACCCCUCUCUCUAGAAGGCUCACCUUUUCAUUACAAAGGUGUUACUUCUUUUCUGCAUAUUUAAAGCACCCCUUGUGUUACUGUGCAAUCCCUUCACUGUGGAGUAACAGAAAAUUCAAGCUGACAUAAGUUCCAGCAAGCUUCUUUAACCUUGGAAGUGAAAAGUGGCCAGUGACAGGCAGGAGCUUUGAAAGACAGCGAAAGAAUAGAUUCAUUUUGGAUUGUACUCAGAAUGUUGUGUAAAUGAUGCAAGAAACUCAGAGAGAUGCCACAAACACCCUAUUAGGGAGAUACCAGUGACAGAAUGAGAGCUACUGCCCGAAACUGCUUGAGUUUUGACAGCAUUAUGUGAUGACAUCUGAGAUGUAAGUAGAUGCCAGGCAGCUAUAGUGUCUUUUGAUGAAGUCAUUUAUUGAUUUGACACUGACUUUUUCCCUUGUACCAGUGCAUGUACUCUCCUGUGACACAGAAUUGAGGUGAUCUCGGGAAAUUACAAGAAAAGCAGAAAUUGGGUAGACAAAAUGGAUGCUACUACCAAGGAAACUCUACUCAGUACUCUUAGAAGUAAAGGAUACUGUGAUGUGAGUCAGUCCUCACAACACAGCACUUCAAGGGAAAUGGAUAAAUGGUGGUUGGGCACAACGCACAGCUCUAAGUGCUGUGAGGAGGUGAUACCAUGUGGCAGAUUUACCUGGGAUUUUUGUGCUGGCAGAGAGACAGGGAAGGAAAUCUUUUUAUGAUCAAGCAGUAUAGCUCAAAGCAGCAUUGGUUUUAUGAAUGUGAAUGAUAAACAGUGGUGAAUCGGAGUACAGCUGAAUCCUAAACCAAGUGAUUGUGAUGGGGCAAAUUAUAGAGGAAUUUAUGCAAGGUUCUCUGUUGCUAUAGCUCAAAUGAUUCGUCUGUGCUGUUUUUUCCUCACCCUUUUCCAAGUUUAUUUUGUGUUGUAUAUCAUUCCUGUAAUUGUGUUCUUUGUUGUUUUUCUCCUGACAUGUUAAAUCCCACAACACAGUCUAGUCUUGAUGUUUUCCUUCUCUUUCAAAGAGUCCCAAGAGAGAGAAGCAGGGAAGGUAGAUGUAUUUGACUUUGGAAAAUGAGUUUAUGCCAGUUGCAAAGGAAAUAAAAUAUAUCAUAGGGGUCUGCUAAGGGGAGGGGAAUGAAAAUAUUGCUCGUUUGUGACAAAAGAUUGCCUUGAAGACUGCUUCAGCUUGAUCAGUCUGAAGUCCAUGUCUCACUGUUUCCAUUACAAAGGCUUUAAUGUUCCUGUUUCUUUUGGAAAAGGACUUCAUCUAUUUUGAAAUAAGUCCAAGGCUCCCCAAAUGUACUAUUUGCUUUCAGGCUGAAAACAUGAGACCUGUGCACUGGCGUCUCAUUCUAGAGGGGCUAGAAAAUAUUACGUGGUUUAGGUCAUGGGCCAGGAUAGUCAAGGAGUCAGCAUGUGAGCAUCUCCAUGGCAGCUGAGGAUCAUAGAAUCCACAGCCUUAUGCUGAUACAGUGAGCACUACUUCUGCAAGGACUUUGGGUAUGGAGAUAUUUCAGCACAGAACGGGGCCAUGGCUUCCUCAUGCUCUGGGCAAUGGAUGCAAGCAAUAUGCCUAGCAGACAGGAGAACAAGCUGUCAAGCUAUGCCUGGCACAGGGACCACAGGAUGGGUGAGGAACUGAAGCACUCUGCUGUGCAGGGUGUCUGUACUGUGGUGGGUCACUACAGGGCUGUAAUUAGAUAACGAAAUCUCAGCCAGAAUGAGUGAAAUCUGGUAGAUCUUUGUUUUACAUACCAUUUGUCUGGUUUGCAUGUAGGAGGCAGGACUUCAGGACCUGUAUUAUGAAGGCAGAAUACUAUUCGUAUGAUACCUUCUUGGUAUCAAGCCUGUAAGCCGAUACAGUUCAUUCCUUCAGAGGAUCCCAGUCCGGAUUUGUUCACUGGGGGUGAUCAUUACAGAGCCGUAGUACAUUAAUUCAAGUCCUUAGCAAACAGUGGCUCACUAUCCUCUGCAAGCCUCCCACGGCUUCCUAUUGUGAGAACAUAGCUUUCUGCUGUUUUUCCUUUAUCUGCUCCUGAGAUGUCCCUAAUCUCUUCUGAGCAUCAGCCCCCAUUUUUCUGUUCGCAGCAGAGAACUUUUUCGGUGCACACCUGUGGAGCUCAUUCCUAACCUGUCGUUUUCAUAGUAGCAGUUUUACCGGGUGUCAAAAUACAGCUACCAUCCUGAUACAUGCGUACAGAGGAAGAAAAUAAAUGCGCUCUCUGGAAAGAGAUGAUAUGAUCUCUAAAUUAGUGGCAGCCAUCCCUCAUAGUGUGUGGUAUGUUUUAAAGUUCAAGGUCAUUUUUUUUUUUUUUUUUCCCUUUCUUAGUAUGUGCAACUGUUAGCAUCAACUGCUGAUGCAUUUACCUUGGGCUUUUUUCUUUAGAAAUCUUACAGCCUUUUUGGAAAUUUCCACUCCUCCUCCACUCAGCUUUUAAAAGAAAUUUUUGUUUUUAUGAAAAGUGAAAGCAACUUUCAUGUAAGAUGAGCACAAGUGAGUUGCCAGAAGGUAAAUUCUCUGUGCUGUGAGCAGGCUUCUGUUUUACAUGGGAUAGCCACUGUGAAAUGCAACAACUCUGAACAACAGUUCGUGAGUCCAGAAAAAUACAAAUGAAGUGACAGCAGUGUUUACACUGCUAAGUCACUUAUAUGAGAAGAUACCUUAUUUUGAAGUGACUACUGUCCUCCUUUGUUAACUUGAAACCAUCUGGUUUUAAGCAUGUUUGACAGAAGGAUAGGGGCUACACAGAGACUGAAUCCUACCAGUUUUAUGACAAUCAGAAACAGGAAAGAGGCCAAAGUUCCUCCUGCCCUGGAGGAGAGCCUGCAGCAUGCACUCAAGAUACAUGCAAGGGUUGUCCAGCCAGCAGGGUGGACAUCUCUCACAAAGUGGCCUGGCAGCUGGCAGAUGUGCUCCUCAGCAUGUGUUCUGGGUUUCCUGCCACUAGCGAAGGAGGGAGGGAGCUGGAGGUGCUGCAGAUGAUGGCCAAAGGGAAGCACAAAGAACUCUGGAGGGAGCAGUCCUAGCCAAGAUGUUCUGGAGGGGGAGAACACAAAGCAGAAGGGAGCCAAUGUUGCUUGUGGCAUGACUUGUCUAAUUCAGGUACACUCUGAUCUGUCACCAGAUCCAGAGGUAUUUCAACAGUGAAGCAUUGCUUUACAGUUUAAGACUGCAACUAAAGGGGGGAAGACAGAAGUUCUGUUCUUCAGCUAGGAGGUGUGAACUUGAUGAACCGAUUGUAACAUCUGUGUCUCAUAUUCUUUCUCUCUGAGAAAAGGAUAGAAAUACAUGUGUGCUUCAGAGGGGAGCUGAGGUGCUUCAUCCGUUUGGAAAUGAUUUUUCUCCGUUAGGAGACAGAUGCUUUACCUUUUCCAUGAAAAGCUGUAAAUGUUUCAGAAACAAUUAAAGCAGCUUCCUGACAUCCUCUUGGGUGAGGAAAUAUGAUUGCUGUGGGAAAACUGAGGCAAAAAAUCUGUCAUGUGAAUAUUUUAUUUUAAUAGUUAAUGAACAGGGAAAAAGAAAGCAUUACUAUAAAACACAUGAGCAAGAUUGUGGAAAACUUUGGCAGAGAAAGGGACUGAGAUAAAUUCUGUCUUGAUUGACAUCUCCUGAAGGUCAAAGUAUCUACCCACUGUAUGAGGCAGUGUUAAAUUUGCUCAUGGUGUAUAUAUAUAAUCAGAAGACUUUGCCUCUUAGUAUACUUUAUUUCAGAAUGCGUGUACUGCGUAAGGCUGGCUGGUAGAGUAGAAGUAAAUAUUAUGAAAAGUGAC
ensembl:lncRNA